UACAGAGGGUGCAAGCGUUAAUCGGAAUUACUGGGCGUAAAGCGUGCGCAGGCGGUGAUGUAAGACAGAUGUGAAAUCCCCGGGCUCAACCUGGGAACUGCAUUUGUGACUGCAUCGCUGGAGUACGGCAGAGGGGGAUGGAAUUCCGCGUGUAGCAGUGAAAUGCGUAGAUAUGCGGAGGAACACCGAUGGCGAAGGCAAUCCCCUGGGCCUGUACUGACGCUCAUGCACGAAAGCGUGGGGAGCAAACAGG
rnacentral:rRNA from 1 species